rnacentral:rRNA from 1 species
GGGAACGUGCCUUCCGGUUCGGAAUAACCCUGGGAAACUAGGGCUAAUACCGGAUACGCCCUUAUGGGGAAAGGUUUACUGCCGGAAGAUCGGCCCGCGUCUGAUUAGCUAGUUGGUGGGGUAACGGCCUACCAAGGCGACGAUCAGUAGCUGGUCUGAGAGGAUGAUCAGCCACACUGGGACUGAGACACGGCCCAGACUCCUACGGGAGGCAGCAGUGGGGAAUAUUGGGCAAUGGGCGCAAGCCUGAUCCAGCCAUGCCGCGUGAGUGAUGAAGGCCUUAGGGUUGUAAAGCUCUUUUAUCCGGGACGAUAAUGACGGUACCGGAGGAAUAAGCCCCGGCUAACUUCGUGCCAGCAGCCGCGGUAAUACGAAGGGGGCUAGCGUUGCUCGGAAUCACUGGGCGUAAAGGGCGCGUAGGCGGCGUUUUAAGUCGGGGGUGAAAGCCUGUGGCUCAACCACAGAAUGGCCUUCGAUACUGGGACGCUUGAGUAUGGUAGAGGUUGGUGGAACUGCGAGU